UACGUAGGGGGCUAGCGUUGUCCGGAAUCAUUGGGCGUAAAGAGCGUGUAGGCGGUCCGGUAAGUCCGCUGUGAAAGUCGGGGGCUCAACCCUCGAAUGCCGGUGGAUACUGUCGGGCUAGAGUGCGGAAGAGGCGAGUGGAAUUCCUGGUGUAGGCGGUGAAAUGCGCAGAUAUCAGGAGGAACACCUAUUGCGAAGGCAGCUCGCUGGGACGUAACUGACGCUGAGACGCGAAAGCGUGGGGAGCAAACAGG
rnacentral:rRNA from 1 species